UAUAAAUAGGUCCCCACGGACCUUAGUAAUCCAUUUUCUCACUUGAACAGCAAGAGGAAGAAAGGAGAAAGGAGAAGAGAAGAAGAUCAAGAGAGAUCGACCUCUUAAGGCUGCUGUUGGAAGAUUCAGCAAACAGAUGUGCCAUAGGACUCUGCUGUUACAAAUUCCCUGAAGGUCAAAUGGCGUGUGGCGCUUUCUAUCUUCCCUUGAUGGGAUUAUUUUCUAUUCUCUGCAUUUUAACAGAGAGAGGAAGUUCUUUCUUGCUAUACACCAUUUAUUUCUCUUCCCACUAUUUCACUCAAAUCCAGGGGUUCUCCAGCAAAGCUAGUUAUGUGCUCAAUUAUUAACAGUGAGCAUUAUUUAGAUACACCCUUACUAUUGGCUUUUAAUAUUCUUGUUUUAAUUAUUUUUCUUCUUAAACCUUUGGUUUCUGUGAGUUAUUUUUGAAAAAAAAAAUGUAAUUAUUCUUGCCCAUUUAGUCUCUUCUUUCUGUAGUUAUCCAAACAAGAAACUUUGUGUUUCGAAGGAAACAUGGUGGUACAAUGUGGGAUCCUUUCAACCGUA